rnacentral:misc_RNA from 1 species
AAAUGCCAGUCAGCCCAGUUGAAG